GACACAGUGGCGUAGUGGUUAACACUUUUGCAUCGUACCAACAGGGUCGGGGGUUCGAUUUGCGCCUCCACCCUGUGUUU